UACAGAGGGGGCGAGCGUUAUUCGGAAUUAUUGGGCGUAAAGCGCGUGUAGGCGGCUUUGCAAGUCGGGUGUGAAAUCCCUCAGCUCAACUGAGGAAGUGCGCCCGAAACUGCAUGGCUCGAGUACCGGAGAGGAUGGUGGAAUUCCCCAAGUAGAGGUGAAAUUCGUAGAUAUGGGGAGGAACACCGGUGGCGAAGGCGACCAGCUGGACGGAUACUGACGCUGAGACGCGAAAGUGUGGGGAGCAAACAGG
rnacentral:rRNA from 1 species